rnacentral:rRNA from 1 species
UACGUAGGGGGCUAGCGUUGUCCGGAAUCAUUGGGCGUAAAGCGCGCGUAGGCGGCCCGGUAAGUCCGCUGUGAAAGUCGGGGGCUCAACCCUCGGAUGCCGGUGGAUACUGUCGGGCUUGAGUACGGAAGAGGCGAGUGGAAUUCCUGGUGUAGCGGUGAAAUGCGCAGAUAUCAGGAGGAACACCAAUUGCGAAGGCAGCUCGCUGGGACGUUACUGACGCUGAGACGCGAAAGCGUGGGGAGCAAACAGG